UUAAACAUUGUGUCCGUUAGUCUUCUCAGACAUUCAGUCAAGUUCAGUUCAAAAUGAUGAUAAUACCAAUAGUUGGCCUAAUUAUAGUAAUAGCUCCUCUUAUAAUACCUACAUCCAUCAUAAUGAGUAAUGUGACUUCUUGAGCAAUUUGGCCGGGAAAUAUAAUGACAACAACGAAGGAAACGGAGUUAUUUGGACGUGUUUUUGGGAUCACAAUCAGUCCCUGACAGAAGACGUGAUGGUGGUAAACCUACAAACUGAAUUCGAAACAUCCAUUAUAUAUGAAAGCAGCUCAAAUCCUUUCAAUAUAAUUUAAAGUCAUGAUAGAUUCAUUAAUCUUAAUUUGAUUAUGCAAAAUUGAACAGAUUUAUAAU